AACCCAAUCUUCAAGCAGCUGCUGUUGUUGGGAGUGUUCCACCCACAGCGGGUUGAGUUCUGAGACUUGCAUCGGGAGGUUCGUGCUUAAUGAUAAAUAUAGACUUGAAGGAACAUGGCGUGACCGGCACACGAAAUCGAUGCAUAGCUUACCCUGGUGCGUUGAGCUAAGGGUUUCAUUCAGGCCUCGUCCAGGGACCCCCUUGUUCCUUAUUCCUUGUUCCUGACGAACUUUUCCGUUACAGUCUUACAGAUCUGUGGAGUUGAGAUAACAAGCCAACUUUUCUGGUUUCCCUGCUUGUUGUUGUUGUUGUUAUCCCAUGGACGCCCUGUCCUUGAUAUGCAGCAUUGCUUUCCAGAUUUUAUUGGGGUGUCGGAUGUUUUCUUUUUUGGGGCUUUUUUUUUUGGUUUUGUUUUCUCCUGUCCUUUGUGUGCCCCUGCUUGGCCAAUCUUAAUAUGGGUCUGGUCCGAUUGAUCAUGGUAUGUUGAACCAUUGUUGAUCUUUCACUGGCUGGAGGAUCGCUGUUAUUGAGCAACCC
rnacentral:sRNA from 1 species